GGUCUUGGCGCCCCGACCUUCGGGGGCUGAAUUUUGGGCGCGGGUGUGCCCGUGGCCUAUUUUUGGCACACGGAGGCCGCCCGCAAAGUCUGGGGCCCCAAGGCUAUAGCCCACCCGUUUUUUGGCCAUUUUUCCGCUGGGGGGUCUUGGCGCCCCGACCUUCGGGGGCUGAAUUUUGGGCGCGGGUGUGCCCGUGGCCUAUUUUUGGCACACGGAGGCCGCCCGCAAAGUCUGGGGCCAUUCCGAGUCCGGCGGACGAACUUCGCCCACGCCCCCCACCAAGGCUAUAGCCCACCCGUUUUUUGCCCAUUUUUCCGCUGGGGGGUCUUGGCGCCCCGACCUUCGGGGGCUGAUUUUUGGGCGCGGGUGUGCCCGUGGCCUAUUUUUGGCACACGGAGGCCGCCCGCAAAGUCUGGGGCCAUUGCGAGUCCGGCGGACGAACUUCGCCCACGCCCCCCACCAAGGCUAUAGCCCACCCGUUUUUUGGCCAUUUUUCCGCUGGGGGUUCUUGGCGCCCCGACCUUCGGGGGCUGAAUUUUGGGCGCGGGUGUGCCCGUGGCCUAUUUUUGGCACACGGAGGCCGCCCGCAAAGUCUGGGGCCAUUCCGAGUCCGGCGGACGAGCUUCGCCCACGCCCCCCACCAAGGCUAUAGCCCACCCGUUUUUUGGCCAUUUUUCCGCUGGGGGGUCUUGGCGCCCCGACCUUCGGGGGCUGAUUUUUGGGCGCGGGUGUGCCCGUGGCCUAUUUUUUGCACACGGAGGCCGCCCGCAAAGUCUGGGGCCAUUCCGAGUCCGGCGGACGAACUUCGCCCACGCCCCCCACCAAGGCUAUAGCCCACCCGUUUUUUGGCCAUUUUUCCGCUGGGGGGUCUUGGCGCCCCGACCUUCGGGGGCUGAUUUUUGGGCGCGGGUGUGCCCGUGGCCUAUUUUUUGCACACGGAGGCCGCCCGCAAAGUCUGGGGCCAUUCCGAGUCCGGCGGACGAACUUCGCCCACGCCCCCCACCAAGGCUAUAGCCCACCCGUUUUUUGGCCAUUUUUCCGCUGGGGGGUCUUGGCGCCCCGACCUUCGGGGGCUGAAUUUUGGGCGCGGGUGUGCCCGUGGCCUAUUUUUGGCACACGGAGGCCGCCCGCAAAGUCUGGGGCCAUUCCGAGUCCGGCGGACGAACUUCGCCCACGCCCCCCACCAAGGCUAUAGCCCACCCGUUUUUUGGCCAUUUUUCCGCUGGGGGGUCUUGGCGCCCCGACCUUCGGGGGCUGAAUUUUGGGCGCGGGUGUGCCCGUGGCCUAUUUUUGGCACACGGAGGCCGCCCGCAAAGUCUGGGGCCAUUCCGAGUCCGGCGGACGAACUUCGCCCACGCCCCCAACCAAGGCUAUAGCCCACCCGUUUUUUGGCCAUUUUUCCGCUGGGGGGUCUUGGCGCCCCGACCUUCGGGGGCUGAUUUUUGGGCGCGGGUGCGCCCGUGGCCUAUUUUUUGCACACGGAGGCCGCCCGCAAAGUCUGGCGCCAUUCCGAGUCCGGCGGACGAACUUCGCCCACGCCCCCCACCAAGGCUAUAGCCCACCCGUUUUUUGGCCAUUUUUCCGCUGGGGGGUCUUGGCUCCCCGACCUUCGGGGGCUGAUUUUUGGGCGCGGGUGUGCCCGUGGCCUAUUUUUGGCACACGGAGGCCGCCCGCAAAGUCUGGGGCCAUUCCGAGUCCGGCGGACGAACUUCGCCCACGCCCCCCACCAAGGCUAUAGCCCACCCGUUUUUUGGCCAUUUUUCCGCUGGGGGGUCUUGGCGCCCCGACCUUCGGGGGCUGAAUUUUGGGCGCGGGUGUGCCCGUGGCCUAUUUUUGGCACACUGAGGCCGCCCGCAAAGUCUGGGGCCAUUCCUAGUCCGGCGGACGAACUUCGCCCACGCCCCCCACCAAGGCUAUAGCCCACCCGUUUUUUGGCCAUUUUUCCGCUGGGGGGUCAUGGCGCCCCGACCUUCGGGGGCUGAAUUUUGGGCGCGGGUGUGCCCGUGGCCUAUUUUUGGCACACGGAGGCCGCCCGCAAAGUCUGGGGCCAUUGCGAGUCCGGCGGACGAACUUCGCCCACGCCCCCCACCAAGGCUAUAGCCCACCCGUUUUUUGGCCAUUUUUCCGCUGGGGGGUCUUGGCGCCCCGACCUUCGGGGGCUGAAUUUUGGGCGCGGGUGUGCCCGUGGCCUAUUUUUGGCACACGGAGGCCGCCCGCAAAGUCUGGGGCCAUUCCGAGUCCGGCGGACGAACUUCGCCCACGCCCCCCACCAAGGCUAUAGCCCACCCGUUUUUUGGCCAUUUUUCCGCUGGGGGGUCUUGGCGCCCCGACCUUCGGGGGCUGAAUUUUGGGCGCGGGUGUGCCCGUGGCCUAUUUUUGGCACACGGAGGCCGCCCGCAAAGUCUGGGGCCAUUCCGAGUCCGGCGGACGAACUUCGCCCACGCCCCCCACCAAGGCUAUAGCCCACCCGUUUUUUGGCCAUUUUUCCGCUGGGGGGUCUUGGCGCCCCGACCUUACGGGGCUGAAUUUUGGGCGCGGGUGUGCCCGUGGCCUAUUUUUGGCACACGGAGGCCGCCCGCAAAGUCUGGGGCCAUUCCGAGUCCGGCGGACGAACUUCGCCCACGCCCCCCACCAAGGCUAUAGCCCACCCGUUUUUUGGCCAUUUUUCCGCUGGGGGGUCUUGGCGCCCCGACCUUCGGGGGCUGAUUUUUGGGCGCGGGUGUGCCCGUGGCCUAUUUUUGGCACACGGAGGCCGCCCGCAAAGUCUGGGGCCAUUCCGAGUCCGGCGGACGAACUUCGCCCACGCCCCCCACCAAGGCUAUAGCCCACCCGUUUUUUGGCCAUUUUUCCGCUGGGGGGUCUUGGCGCCCCGACCUUCGGGGGCUGAUUUUUGGGCGCGGGUGUGCCCGUGGCCUAUUUUUGGCACACGGAGGCCGCCCGCAAAGUCUGGGGCCAUUCCGAGUCCGGCGGACGAACUUCGCCCACGCCCCCCACCAAGGCUAUAGCCCACCCGUUUUUUGGCCAUUUUUCCGCUGGGGGGUCUUGGCGCCCCGACCUUCGGGGGCUGAUUUUUGGGCGCGGGUGUGCCCGUGGCCUAUUUUUGGCACACGGAGGCCGCCCGCAAAGUCUGGGGCCAUUGCGAGUCCGGCGGACGAACUUCGCCCACGCCCCCCACCAAGGCUAUAGCCCACCCGUUUUUUGGCCAUUUUUCCGCUGGGGGGUCUUGGCGCCCCGACCUUCCGGGGCUGAAUUUUGGGCGCGGGUGUGCCCGUGGCCUAUUUUUGGCACACGGAGGCCGCCCGCAAAGUCUGGGGCCAUUCCGAGUCCGGCGGACGAACUUCGCCCACGCCCCCCACCAAGGCUAUAGCCCACCCGUUUUUUGGCCAUUUUUCCGCUGGGGGGUCUUGGCGCCCCGACCUUCGGGGGCUGAAUUUUGGCUGCGGGUGUGCCCGUGGCCUAUUUUUGGCACACGGAGGCCGCCAACAAAGUCUGGGGCCCCAAGGCUAUAGCCCACCCGUUUUUUGGCCAUUUUUCCGCUGGGGGGUCUUGGCGCCCCGACCUUCGGGGGCUGAUUUUUGGGCGCGGGUGUGCCCGUGG
rnacentral:lncRNA from 1 species